rnacentral:rRNA from 1 species
UACUCCUACGGGAGGCAGCAGUGGGGAAUUUUACGCAAUGGGCGAAAGCCUGACGUAGCGACACCGCGUGAGCGAAGAAGCCCCUUGGGGUGUAAAGCUCUGUCAGCUGGAACGAAAAAAAUGACGGUACCAGCAGAGGAAGCAUCGGCUAACUACGUGCCAGCAGCCGCGGUAAGACGUAGGAUGCAAGCGUUGUCCGGAUUUAUUGGGCGUAGAGAGUUCGUAGGUGAUUUGUUAAGUUUGGUGUUAAAGAUUGGGGCUCAACCCUGAAACUGCACUGAAUACUGGCAGACUCGAGUGUGGUAGAGGCUAGUGGAAUUCCCAGUGUAGCGGUGAAAUGCGUAGAUAUUGGGAAGAACACCGGUGGCGUAGGCGACUAGCUGGGCCAUAACUGACACUGAGGAACGAAAGCCAGGGGAGCGAAUGGGAUUAGAUACCCCAGUAGUCCUGGCCGUAAACGAUGGAUACUAGGUGUGGGGGACAUCCAACGUUGACGGCGCCGUACCUAACGCAUUAAGUGCCCCGCUUGGUGAGAACGGCCGCAAGGCGAAAACUAAAGGGAUUGACGGGGGCCCCACAAGCGGUGGAAGCAUGUGGA